rnacentral:rRNA from 1 species
CACGUAGGUGGCGCUACAAGUUGGAUGUGAAAGCUCCCGGCUUAACUGGGAGAGGUCAUUCAAAACUGUAGUGCUCGAGGCUGAAAGAGGAGAGUGGAAUUCCCGGUGUAGUGGUGGAAUGCGUAGAUAUCGGGAGGAACACCAGUGGCGAAAGCGGCUCUCUAGUUCACGCCUGACGCUGAGGUGCGAAAGCGUGGGUAGCGAACG